rnacentral:rRNA from 1 species
UACGUAGGGUGCAAGCGUUAAUCGGAAUUACUGGGCGUAAAGGGCGCGUAGGCGGCCCGUUUAGUCGGGUGUGAAAUCCCGGGGCUCAACCCCGGAACUGCACUCGAUACUGGCGGGCUUGAGACCGGAAGAGGUGGGUGGAAUACCCAGUGUAGAGGUGAAAUUCGUAGAUAUUGGGUGGAACACCGGUGGCGAAGGCGGCUCACUGGUCCGGUUCUGACGCUGAGGCGCGAAAGCGUGGGGAGCAAACAGG